UCCCAAGUGUCUUGAUGUUAUUAUUAUUCAACUCUUCAACCACCUCAAUAUCCGAAGAAGAAAAGAGAAAUCCGCAAUGGCACGCUCAUGGCAACGCUGAUCAGAAAUCUGCUGGUGAAGACAUUGAUUGUUAUGUUCUUUGUAACAGUAGCUACCGCCACAGGCGACGCCCCAUUCAUCAUCGCUCACAAGAAAGCAUCCUUGACCAGACUCAAAUCAGGCUCCGAACGCGUCUCCGUCUCCAUUGAAAUCUACAACCAAGGCUUCUCGACAGCAUAUGAUGUGAGUGUCGUCGAUGAUAGCUGGCCCCAAUAAAUGUUUGAUAUUGUCAAUGGUAACACUUCACAGACGUGGGAGAAACUUGAUGCUUGAGUUUUGCUUUUGUUUAAUUCUAAUGAAUAUGUUCUUCCAGGAUUGAAUCAACUAAAACGCUGAACUUUACUCUGCAGUGGUGCUCUUCUAUCUCAUCCAUUUGAAUUAGAGGCCAAAAAGCAAGGAAUGUUCUAUGGUGCCCCAGCAGUAAUUACUUUCCGGAUUCCCACAAAAGCUGCUUUACAGGAGGCUUAUUCAACUGAAAUUUUGCCGUUGGAUGUUCUUGAAAGAUCUCCAGAGAAGUUUGAGUGGGUAAGUUUCGUUUGGAAUAACAGUAAUCAAUGAACCAUAGCUAUUCAAUAUCUUUUUUCCCUUUUUCAAUGUUACUAAAUCAUUUUUGUGUGUGUUACUUUUGGAACACGCCUUGGUG